rnacentral:rRNA from 1 species
AGAGUUUGAUCAUGGCUCAGGACGAACGCUGGCGGCAUGCCUAAUACAUGCAAGUCGAGCGAACAGAUGAAGUGCUUGCACUUCUGACGUUAGCGGCGAACGGGUGAGUAACACGUAAGGAAUCUACCUAUAAGCGGGGGAUAACAUUCGGAAACGGGUGCUAAUACCGCAUAAUAUCUUCUUCCGCAUGGAAGAAGAUUGAAAGACGGCUCUGCUGUCACUUAUAGAUGACCUUGCGGUGCAUUAGUUAGUUGGUGGGGUAACGGCCUACCAAGACGAUGAUGCAUAGCCGACCUGAGAGGGUGAUCGGCCACAUUGGGACUGAGACACGGCCCAAACUCCUACGGGAGGCAGCAGUAGGGAAUCUUCCGCAAUGGGCGAAAGCCUGACGGAGCAAUGCCGCGUGAGUGAAGAAGGCCUUCGGGUCGUAAAACUCUGUUAUAAGAGAAGAACAAAUUGUAGAGUAACUGCUACAGUCUUGACGGUAUCUUAUCAGAAAGCCACGGCUAACUACGUGCCAGCAGCCGCGGUAAUACGUAGGUGGCAAGCGUUGUCCGGAUUUAUUGGGCGUAAAGGGAGCGCAGGUGGUUUCUUAAGUCUGAUGUGAAAGCCCACGGCUUAACCGUGGAGGGUCGUUGGAAACUGGGAAACUUGAGUACAGAAGAGGAAUGUGGAACUCCAUGUGUAGCGGUGGAAUGCGUAGAUAUAUGGAAGAACACCAGUGGCGAAGGCGACAUUCUGGUCUGUUACUGACACUGAGGCUCGAAAGCGUGGGGAGCAAACAGGAUUAGAUACCCUGGUAGUCCACGCCGUAAACGAUGAGUGCUAGGUGUUGGAGGGUUUCCGCCCUUCAGUGCCGCAGUUAACGCAUUAAGCACUCCGCCUGGGGAGUACGACCGCAAGGUUGAAACUCAAAUGAAUUGACGG